rnacentral:rRNA from 1 species
UACGUAGGGGGCAAGCGUUGUUCGGAAUUAUUGGGCGUAAAGGGCGCGUAGGCGGUUUGUUAAGUCGGUUGUGAAAGCCCGGGGCUCAACCCCGGAGAGUCGACCGAUACUGGCAGACUAGAGUACAGAAGAGGUAGCUGGAAUUCCUGGUGUAGCGGUGAAAUGCGUAGAUAUCAGGAGGAACACCUGAGGCGAAGGAGGGCUACUGGGCUGAUACUGACGCUGAUGCGCGAAAGCCAGGGGAGCAAACGGG